AGAUUGAACGCUGGCGGCAGGCCUAACACAUGCAAGUCGAGCGGCAGCACGGGUACUUGUACCUGGUGGCGAGCGGCGGACGGGUGAGUAAUGCCUAGGAAUCUGCCUGGUAGUGGGGGAUAACGCUCGGAAACGGACGCUAAUACCGCAUACGUCCUACGGGAGAAAGCAGGGGACCUUCGGGCCUUGCGCUAUCAGAUGAGCCUAGGUCGGAUUAGCUAGUUGGUGAGGUAAUGGCUCACCAAGGCGACGAUCCGUAACUGGUCUGAGAGGAUGAUCGGUCACGACUGGAACUGAGACACGGUCCAGACUCCUACGGAGGCAGCAGUGGGGAAUAUUGGACAAUGGGCGAAAGCCUGAUCCAGCCAUGCCGCGUGUGUGAAGAAGGUCUUCGGAUUGUAAAGCACUUUAAGUUGGAGGAAGGCAGUUACCUAAUACGUAUCUGUUUUGACGUUACCGACAGAAUAAGCACCGGCUAACUCUAGUGCCAGCAGCCG
rnacentral:rRNA from 1 species